rnacentral:rRNA from 1 species
GAUGAACGCUAGCUACAGGCUUAACACAUGCAAGUCGCGGGGCAGCAUGGGGGUUGCUUGCCAUCCCCGAUGGCGACCGGCGCACGGGUGAGUAACGCGUAUCCAACCUGCCCUUCACCACGGGAUAACCCGGCGAAAGUCGGACUAAUACCGUAUGUUGUCCAUUGACGGCAUCCGAUUUGGACGAAAGGCUUGGCGGUGAGGGAUGGGGAUGCGUCCGAUUAGCCAGACGGCGGGGUAACGGCCCACCGUGGCUACGAUCGGUAGGGGUUCUGAGAGGAAGGUCCCCCACACUGGAACUGAGACACGGUCCAGACUCCUACGGGAGGCAGCAGUGAGGAAUAGUGGGCAAUGGGCGUAAGCCUGAACCAGCCAAGUAGCGUGCAGGAUGACGGCCCUAUGGGUUGUAAACUGCUUUUAUGCGGGGAUAAAGUGGCCCACGUGUGGGCUUUUGCAGGUACCGCAUGAAUAAGGACCGGCUAAUUCCGUG